rnacentral:rRNA from 1 species
GGGUGAGUGGCGCACGGGUGAGUAACGCGUAGCUAACCUGCCCUGAAGAGGGGGAUAACCGGUGGAAACACCUGCUAAGGCCCCAUACCCUCGCAAGAGGAAAGCUCAGGCGCUCUGGGAUGGGGCUGCGAACCAUCAGCUAGAUGGUGGGGUAAUGGCCUACCAUGGCAACGACGGAUAGGGGACCUGAGAGGGUGACCCCCCACACUGGGACUGAGACACGGCCCAGACUCCUACGGGAGGCAGCAGUGAGGAAUAUUGCACAAUGGGCGCAAGCCUGAUGCAGCGACGCCGCGUGGGUGAAGACGGUUUUCGGAUCGUAAAGCCCUUUUCUGUGUGACGAGAGUGGACGGUAGCACAGGAAUAAGUGUCGGCUAACUACGUGCCAGCAGCCGCGGUAAAACGUAGGACGCAAGCGUUAUCCGGAGUUACUGGGCGUAAAGCGCGUGCAGGCGGAUUGUUAAGUUACUUAUGAAAGCUCUUGGCUAAACUAGGAGAGGUUGAGUGAAACUGGCAAUCUAGAGUGGAGGAGAGGAAGGCGGAAUUCCGCGUGUAGUGGUGAAAUGCGUAGAUAUGCGGAAGAACACCGGUGGCGAAGGCGGCCUUCUGGCCUCCAACUGACGCUCAGACGCGAAAGCAUGGGUAGCGAACGGGAUUAGAAACCCCGGUAGUCCAUGCCGUAAACGAUGCACACUAGACGUUCGGAUUCCCCUGGCAGUGAGUGUUGAAGCUAACGCGAUAAGUGUUCCGCCUGGGGAGUACGGUCACAAGGCUAAAACUCAAAGGAAUUGUCGGGGGCCCGCACAAGCAGCGGAGCGUGUGGUUUAAUUCGAGUCUACGCGAAGAACCUUACCUCGGUUUGACAUCAUGAUAGUAGGAUGCAGAGAUGUAUCCGAGCCUCGGCGGUCAUGACAGGUGCUGCAUGGUUGUCGUCAGCUCGUGCCGUGAGGUGUUCGGUUAAGUCCGCAAACGAGCGCAACCCUCGGUGUUAGUUACAAGUGUCUAGCACGACUGCCCGUGGCAAACGGGAGGAAGGUGGGGAUGACGUCAAAUCAGCAUGGCCUUUAUAUCCAGGGCUACACACACGCUACAAUGGCGCGUACAAUGGGUCGCGAAGCCGCGAGGUGGAGCCAAUCUCGAAAGCGCGUCGUAGUUCGGAUUGCAGGCUGCAACUCGCCUGCAUGAAGUCGGAGUUGCUAGUAACCGUGUAUCAGCACGGCACGGUGAAUACGUUCCCGGGCCUUGUACCACCGCCCGUCACGUCAUGGGAGUUGGUUACGCCUGAAGUCGGGAAGCCAACCGCAAGGAGGCUACUGCCGAGGGCAGAACCGAUAACUGGGACGAAGUCG